rnacentral:rRNA from 1 species
UAGGGAAUCUUCGGCAAUGGGGGCAACCCUGACCGAGCAACGCCGCGUGAGUGAAGAAGGUUUUCGGAUCGUAAAGCUCUGUUGUAAGAGAAGAACGUGUGUGAGAGUGGAAAGUUCACACAGUGACGGUACUUACCAGAAAGGGACGGCUAACUACGUGCCAGCAGCCGCGGUAAUACGUAGGUCCCGAGCGUUGUCCGGAUUUAUUGGGCGUAAAGCGAGCGCAGGCGGUUUAAUAAGUCUGAAGUUAAAGGCAGUGGCUUAACCAUUGUUCGCUUUGGAAACUGUUAGACUUGAGUGCAGAAGGGGAGAGUGGAAUUCCAUGUGUAGCGGUGAAAUGCGUAGAUAUAUGGAGGAACACCGGUGGCGAAAGCGGCUCUCUGGUCUGUAACUGACGCUGAGGCUCGAAAGCGUGGGGAGCAAACAGG